UACGAAGGGGGCUAGCGUUGCUCGGAAUCACUGGGCGUAAAGGGCGCGUAGGCGGCUCGAUAAGCGUGUGGUGAAAGCCUGGGGCUCAACCCCGGGUCGGCCAUGCGAACUGUCGAGCUGGAGCACUGUAGAGGCAGGCGGAAUUCCGGGUGUAGCGGUGGAAUGCGUAGAGAUCCGGAAGAACACCGGUGGCGAAGGCGGCCUGCUGGGCAGUAGCUGACGCUGAGGCGCGACAGCGUGGGGAGCAAACAGG
rnacentral:rRNA from 1 species